AGAGUUUGAUCCUGGCUCAGAUUGAACGCUGGCGGCAGGCCUAACACAUGCAAGUCGAGCGGAAACGACACUAACAAUCCUUCGGGUGCGUUAAUGGGCGUCGAGCGGCGGACGGGUGAGUAAUGCCUAGGAAAUUGCCUUGAUGUGGGGGAUAACCAUUGGAAACGAUGGCUAAUACCGCAUAAUGCCUACGGGCCAAAGAGGGGGACCUUCGGGCCUCUCGCGUCAAGAUAUGCCUAGGUGGGAUUAGCUAGUUGGUGAGGUAAUGGCUCACCAAGGCGACGAUCCCUAGCUGGUCUGAGAGGAUGAUCAGCCACACUGGAACUGAGACACGGUCCAGACUCCUACGGGAGGCAGCAGUGGGGAAUAUUGCACAAUGGGCGAAAGCCUGAUGCAGCCAUGCCGCGUGUAUGAAGAAGGCCUUCGGGUUGUAAAGUACUUUCAGUUGUGAGGAAGGGGGUAGCGUUAAUAGCGCUAUCUCUUGACGUUAGCAACAGAAGAAGCACCGGCUAACUCCGUGCCAGCAGCCGCGGUAAU
rnacentral:rRNA from 1 species